GCAUUGUAUAAAAACUUCUCUAGCUGCUGUGUCACAAAGAUACUGGAAAGGGGCAAGGUGAAGGAGGAGACCAGCAGAGCAGCCACGGCCGGGACAGUGCAGAGGAGGGAAGAUGACACAGCUGUGAGACAUUUUGGGCAUUUUAGGACCCAAAGGGACCUAAGAGAGUGCUCAGACAGCUGGCUGCGUUAGGAGCUACCUGUGGCUGCUGAAGAAGAGUUUGCGUCAAUUUAAAGAAAGAGCCAUUCAAGGAAUGAGGACCAUGACCUUGGCUGCACUGACCAGCUGGGCUCUGGAGACUCAGUGAGGCUGCCCAGCCACCAACAGGCCCUGCACAAUAGAUCCACGGACCCAGCAGUCAGAGGUGACCCUAGGGGUCACUGGCCCGUGGCUAAGGAGGAGGAGCACAGACCUGCGACCCCCUUUUCCCAUGGACCACCCAGGGAGGCUGAGCGGGGACUCUGAGCUCAGAUGGACAACCUCAGAGCCACUGGGAAUUUGCCUGAGGCCACUGGGGCCAGGGUUAAAUCCAUAUGAAGCAGCGCGGGCUGUGCACCUGCCAUUUUCUAGGCUCUGUCACAUGCAUCUUUCUGCCAAAUCUCAUGGUGAUCCUUCAAGAAUAGUACUAUUAAUCUCCCCAUUGACAGAGGGAGAAAGGGAGGCUCAGAGACGUUAAGUGUCUCACCAAAGCUCACACAGCUUCCAAGCAAUAGAACUUUACUCAGUACUCAGUACAGGUUAACAUUUAUUCAUUCACUCGAUAACCAUUUGCAGCACAGCUACCAUAUGCCAGGCAGUGUUCUAGGCACUUAGAAUACAUAGAUGAGCAAAACAGGCAAAACCUUUCCCUCAGGGCGUUACCAUUUGAGUGCCACCAUGCCACGGCUGGUACAGUUGCUAUUGAGACAAACAAAAUAAGACCCAGUUUUUGCCUUUGGGGAGUAGGUAGUCUAGUGGAGGAGGCACAUACACAGAAAAUUCCAAAGUACUGUGGAAAUCUCAGGGUACUUUGAUAGGGAUUACCAGAGGAGCUGUGAGAAUAAAGGCUGGAUAUCAGGGAAGGCUUCCUGGAAGAGGUGUUGCCUGAAAUGAGCCUGGAAGGAUCACUUAGGGACAGAAAAGUCAUUCCGUGUAGAAUUCAUGGUGAGUGACAGAGCCUAAACCCAGUCUCUUUUGCAUGCUGAGCACUGAGACCCAGACGCUGGUGCUCAGACCUGAUGACUUAUUUUCCCAGGUACAGCUUGAGCAAAGACACAGAAGCAGAAGGCAGGUUUUUGGUUCCAUGAACUCUACAUCUGGCUACAUACAAAUGGUGAAGAGGAACAGGGAGAAACAUGGUUGAAAAGAACAGGCUUGGACUUCAGGAAGCAGUAAAAUGAGCGAAUGCCAUUUAUGGUUACAAAGAUAACUCAGCUGGGGGCCAAACAGAGACUGAAAUGGAGUGGGUGAGGAUGGAGGCCGGGAGGAGAUGGCUGCAGAGGUCCCAGCAAUGACAGUGGUUGUGGGAAGGGGCAACCCCAAGUCUUGUGCUCCCAACUGCAAAUCCAGUGCUUUUUCUAAAAAAAUAUUUAAAUAAUUUAUUUAUUUUUGAGAUGGAGUCUCGCUCUGUCACCCAGGCUGGAGUGCAGUGACACAAUGUCGGCUCGUGCAACCUCUGCCCCCCGGGUUCAAGCGAUUCUCCUGCCUCAGCCUCCCAAGUAGCUGGGAUUACAGACGCACGCCUCCACGCCUGGCUAAUUUUUUAUAUUUUUGGUAGAGAUGGGGUUUCACCAUGUUGCCCAGGCUGGUCUCGAACUCCUGACUUCAAGUGAUCCACCCACCUCGGCCUCCCAAAGUACUAGGAUGACAGGCGUGAGCCACUGUGCCCAGCCUUAUUUUUUUUUUUAAUUUAUAUUUUCAGAGGCAAACGAUCCUUGCUCAUUAAAAAAAGGAAAUAGAAAUUCAAAACAAAAAUGCCUGUAUCUGAUGGGAAAGAUGAGCCCAAUGUUCUUUUUUAAAAAACCUUUAUUAUGAAAUAUUUCAACUGAACAUAUGCAGUUUAUAUUGUUAUAAAGCAUAACAAGCAAUCAAACAGCUGUGAACCCACCACUCCAUGUCAGAACUAGAACUUCCCAAAGCAGUCGGAGCUGAGGUGAGAUCCACUCUGAUGCCCUUCCCCAACUCCACGCCACCCCCCAAGACCUGACCACCUGAUUACUCUGGGAUUUCAUUUUUGUCUCGUUCCCUUGCUUUGCUUUAUGUCUUUACCAAAUGUGAAUGUGUGCCUAAACAAUACAGUGCUCGAUUUGCUUGUGUUUAAGCUUUAUUACAAAUAUAACUUUGAUCCUUCUGCUA